rnacentral:lncRNA from 1 species
GAACAAGUCAAUGGACCCACGUAGGUCCUCGACUGAUCUUGAGGUUUUGGGACUCCCCCUUGUGAUACGGGAAUUUGAUCCCUUGAAACAUCAGUUAUCUUCACCUUUUUCACGCGUUUCCUUUGUGGAUGAGGUAUGUUCACCACCUUCUUUUUCAUGACGAUGGCUCUGCUUUUACCCUUAGGAGAACAUGGGUAAACCUCUUGUAAUGUGGAUUCCACCACAUGGGCUCUAAGGC